rnacentral:rRNA from 1 species
GACGUAGGGCGCGAGCGUUGUCCGGAUUUAUUGGGCGUAAAGAGCUCGUAGGCGGCUCGUUGCGUCGGCUGUGAAAACCCGCAGCUCAACUGUGGGCUUGCAGCUGAUACGGGCGGGCUUGGAUUCGGUAGGGGAGACUGGAAUUCCUGGUGUAGCGGUGAAAUGCGCAGAUAUCAGGAGGAACACCGGUGGGGAAGGCGGUUCUCUGGGCAUGUCCUGACGCUGAGGAGCGAAAGUGUGGGGAGCGAACAGG